UCAAGUUAUUAAGGGUGCAGGGCGGAUGCCUUGGCACUAGGAGCCGAUGAAGGACGUGAUAAGCUGCGAUAAGCUUCGGGGAGUUGCACGUAAACUUUGAUCCGAAGAUUUCCGAAUGAGGAAACUCACUUAGAGUAAUGUCUAAGUAUCAUUAAGUGAAUACAUAGCUUAAUGAGGGGAACUCAGGGAACUGAAACAUCUAAGUACCUGAAGGAAGAGAAAGAAAUUCGAUUCCGUAAGUAGCGGCGAGCGAACGCGGAUUAGCCCAAACCAAUAAAGUUUUCUUUAUUGGGGUUGAGGACAUACCACAUAUAAGAGGUCAUUAUAGACGAAGAAGUUUGGAAAAACUCAUCAUAGAAGGUAAUAAUCCUGUAGUCAAAAUAAUAAUUCUUUAGGUAUGAUCCAGAGUACCACGGGACACGUGAAACCCUGUGGGAAGCAGGAGGGACCACCCUCCAAGGCUAAAUACUACCUAGUGACCGAUAGCGUAUAGUACCGUGAGGGAAAGGUGAAAAGAACCCCGGGAGGGGAGUGAAAUAGAACCUGAAACCCUGCACUUACAAGCUGUGGAAGCACAUUUCUUGUGUGACCGCGUACUUUUUGUAGAACGGGCCAACGAGUUACGUUAAGUAGCAAGGUUAAGCACUUAAGGUGUGGAGCCGUAGCGAAAGCGAGUUUUAACUGAGCGUUCAGUUACUUGACGUAGACCCGAAACCGGGCGACCUACCCAUGAGCAGGAUGAAGCGAAAGUAAAAUUUCGUGGAGGUCCGAACCCACGAGCGUUGAAAAGCUCGGGGAUGACUUGUGGGUAGCGGUGAAAUUCCAAUCGAGCCCGGAGAUAGCUGGUUCUCCCCGAAAUAGCUUUAGGGCUAGCCUCAAGGUGAGAGAUACGGAGGUAGAGCACUGAAUGUCCUAGGGGGUAUUGCACCUACCGAAGACUAUCAAACUCCGAAUGCCGUCAUCUUAUACUUGGGAGUCAGACUGUGGGUGAUAAGAUUCAUAGUCGAAAGGGCAACAGCCCAGAUCGUCAGCUAAGGUCCCUAAAUGUAAGUUAAGUGGUAAAGGAUGUGGGAUUGCACAGACAACCAGGAUGUUGGCUUAGAAGCAGCCACUCAUUCAAAGAGUGCGUAAUAGCUCACUGGUCGAGUGAUCCUGCGCCGAAGAUUUCCGGGGCUAAAACUUACUACCGAAGCUACGGCAUCAGUAAUGAUGGGUAGGGGAGCUUCCCAUACGGGUUGAAGCAUGACCGUAAGGACAUGUGGACAGUAUGGGAGUGAGAAUGUUGGCAUGAGUAGCGAGAUGUGGGUGAGAAUCCCACAGGCCGUAAACCCAAGGUUUCCAGGGGAAGGUUCGUCCGCCCUGGGUUAGUCGGGACCUAAGCUGAGGCCGAAAGGCGUAGGUGAUGGACAACAGGUUGAUAUUCCUGUACUACCGAUAACCGUUUGAGAGAAGGGAUGACACAGUAGGAUAAGCUAAGCACACUGUUGGUUAUGUGUGCCCAAGCAUUGAGGCAGUCAAAGUAGGCAAAUCCGCUUUGAUAAUGCUGGGAUGUGAUGGGGAGCGAAAUUUAGUAGCGAAGUAGCUGAUUUCACACUGUCAAGAAAAGUCUCUAUCGAGGUUAAAGGUACCCGUACCGCAAACCGACACAGGUGGGUGAGGAGAGUAUCCUAAGGCCAGCGAGAGAACUGUUGUUAAGGAACUCGGCAAAAUGACCCCGUAACUUAGGGAUAAGGGGUGCCACCAUCAGGUGGCCGCAGAGAAUAGGCCCAAGCGACUGUUUACCAAAAACAUAGGUUUCUGCUAAGUCGCAAGAUGAUGUAUAGGAGCUGACGCCUGCCCGGUGCUGGAAGGUUAAGGGGAUCUGUUAGAGCAAUCGAAGCAGUGAACUUAAGCCCCAGUAAACGGCGGCCGUAACUAUAACGGUCCUAAGGUAGCGAAAUUCCUUGUCGGGUAAGUUCCGACCCGCACGAAAGGCGUAACGAUUUGGGCACUGUCUCAACAACAGACUCGGUGAAAUUGUAAUUCCGGUGAAGAUGCCGGAUACCUGCGACAGGACGGAAAGACCCCAUGGAGCUUUACUGUAGCUUGACAUUGGGUUUUGGUACUACAUGUACAGGAUAGGUGGGAGGCUUUGAAACCAGGACGCCAGUUUUGGCGGAGCCAUCCUUGGGAUACCACCCUUGUAGUACUGGGACUCUAACCAUAGGCCAUGAAUCUGGUCUUGGGACACUGUCAGGUGGGCAGUUUG
rnacentral:rRNA from 1 species